GGGACGGUGGAGGGUUAUAGUGUGGACACUUGCCUGGCGGAUGCUGUCCUCUGCAUCUCCAACAUUGAACUGGGAUUUUCUCAGCAGUUGGUGUCCCAACUUGACCAGUUCCUCCACAGUACACACUCGACUACGCAACUGGCUGGCAAGAUAGGAACGCAGAAAGGAAUGCAGCCUCAAACUCACUCCACGUGGAUAUGCUGGAACGUCUGACCUCCCACCAGUCACGAGCGGUUCCAUGUAGGACAGUACGGAAUGUGGCCAGGACAUCCGCAUCAGUGAGGGGAUGAAGAGCCAAGAAAUCCUGACAUUUAGUUAAGUACAGGAGGGGGUCUGCAUCGUCUGAUGGCCUUCCAAAAGUGGGAAAGGUUAACUUGAUAUGAUCACUUUUUACUACAGACGUGGGAAGAAGGGGUGAAGAUUCAGCUGGCAAAUUUGAAGUAAUGGUGUUGCUGAGAAUUUGUGGUGCCAAUUUUUGUUGUUCUUCAAUUUGAUUGUUGAUAUCUUGAAAUCCUUUCUCCAACUCAUUUCUCAACUCCUUUACACAUGUGGAAAACUUGUGGAUUUGGGUGACACAUUGCUGAAGUUCUGAAGUAAUGUGAUCCUGACUUGUUUGAAAUGUAUGUUGACCAGCUUUGAUGUCCUGCUGGACUUCUGACUGGAGUUGAUCUACCAUGAAACGCAUUUCCGACACCAAGAUUCCUCUUGUUGUUUGGUAGUGGUCAACAGAGUGAAGACUUGGCUUUUGUUAUCCUCCACUUUUACAGCAAGGUCAGCGAGCUGAUUUUUAUGGUGGGAAGAAGUGGCUUUCAUUUCUUGGGAGUUGGGAGGACGUUGGGUAGGUCAUGUUGUGCCACAGAAGAAGGAGUUCCACCUUCAGAUGAUGUGCAGAGUUGCAUAGGUUCUGGCUGAAAUGAAGCAGAGCCACCUAGAGGCAUGGAGGCAAAGUGCACCUGAGACCGGGGAUGGGGACUGCUGAAUUGAGUUGGGGUGAAGUGGAAAGUGGGAAACUGAGGUAGAAGAAUGGGUCUUGGCUGCACAGGUGGCCAGACGGGCGUCGCUAUGUCUGGAGGAGGGUCAAUUUCCACUGAUGUGGAAGGGGAAGGAGGGAUAGUAGCCAUUUUGUUUUGGGUUUUUGUUGUGUUUGUGUGAGUGAAAGAAAUGUAGAGUAGAAAAUCAGUAAAUAUAAAAUGUAAAUCAGUAAUAGUGUUUGGGUCAGUAAUUUCUUGCACCACGUUUUCACUAAACAAUAUAAAACUUUUCACAAAUGGUCAACCAAUACUUUUCCCAAUUUAAUAACACUCCCGCAAUCAAAAGCACAAUUUCCAAAAGCAACAUUUUUCCUUUAUGGUUCAAAGUUUUAACCUUUAACAAUUUACCAUAAGGUCUCAAUAAUUCUCCAACAAACACAAUUCACAAAAAUAAUGUUCAAGUUCACAUACACAAUUUUUUUUCAAGUCCCUGUUCGGGCGCCACUCUGUAACGGUGGGGGUCGCCCUGGCACAAAUAAAAUCUCUUUAAGUCUUUUUUCGGGCGCCAGCCAGGAUUGAUCCUGACAAAAUUAAAGUAACCCAGGAUAGCCAAUAAAAAAAACCACCUGUUACAAUAUUAAGUCACAAAAAAUAGUCAGAAGAAAAACUGUUCGAAAUGGGAAGAUUUAUUCCACAAUGUCCAUGAAGAAUCUUGGUUGAAAAAUAAGUAACAGGAAAAAAAAACAUUUCAGCCCUUUGUAUCAAUUCAAGGGUGAAUUCGGGGAAUUCCUCCGUGUAGUAAUUGCGUCACACUAUUUCACGUUUCCAACAUGGCAGAUUCACAUCCACAGUCAUUCAUAAAUUGUCCAUAGAAAAAAAACAAAAAACAUUAAAUAAGCAUUUUGUUCAUUUCAUUUGUUCAUUUCAUAAUUAAGCAAUAACAUUAAACCACACUCUUAAAGCAACAUUUAAUCAUUUACCAGUCAUGGAAAACAAAAAAGAAACCCACCGAA